ACCUGUGACUUGGGAUCUCCUUCCCCUCCAGACCCACUGCCCUGCAAAUCUAUGAUGCAUCCUCAUAUCUCGAAACUAAACACAAAAUGAUUUUAGUACGGGCUUAAGCAAGUAGGUAUAAGAAAAGAUUUUUAAGUGGAAUGUAGGAGGAAGAGGAGGAAGACGCUAAGAGAGGUGCAGCGACAAACCUAUGAUCGAGCAUUUACCAUCUCCACUACUAAAAAGGAAACCCAAUCUGCUCCCCACUUUCUUAUUAUCGUCCCGUGUCUUCACUAAUAGUAAGCAACACUAGCAGUAGCUUUCUAAAGUAUUCCAUUAUCGCGUUGAGUUUUUGGACUUGACCAUAUAACGCUAUGUUUUGAUAAAUGGAUGGCGCA
rnacentral:lncRNA from 1 species